GAGUAUCUUGUGUUCUAGAACAGUUCUUGGGUUGAUGUAGUAUAUAACCUUGUUUCUUGAGUCGCAGGAGAUCGUGGGACGGAGACGGGAGAGAGCACACAUCUCUGAUGAGGAGUAUAGAGACGGUCCACAAGGAGAUGAUGCACCACCGGGUUGGCACGUAUGGUUGUGUUUUGGUGUUAUGCCAUACGGAACCGGGGACACUGAGCAUGCAUUAACGGUGCCAGUGGGGCUCGAACAGCCUUAGCCACCGGGUUGGCUCGUAUGGUCAUGUUGUGGUGAUAUAUACGGUUGUGUUGAGGUUUUAUGCCACUGAGCUACAAGAAAAGAAGAGCAGAAGCCACAGCAGCAGGAAGGACGAAGAUAGGAGUAGACUGGCAGCUUCUGGGAGGACACCGGCAGCAGCACCAGCGAUAGACAGGAUACAGUGAGGAUUAGUGUAGCAGCUCCAGGGAGGCAGAAGAGUUUGGAGACAAUAGCAGUCCUGUCUGGAUGUGACUCUGCAAUAUAUCGUCCAAAGCAAAGUGUUUAAACAUUGAGCUUCAAUCACUGUACUACUGCAUAUCAUAACCACAUUUGUAGAAAAAUGUUAAUCCUAAUCUAAUUUUGGUUUUGAUGUUUUUCAGCUAUUGUGCAGUUGAAGACAGAAUGCCUGAGAAGAUCAAGUGUGCUACAACACUGAUGAUGACAAUCUGAAUACCAGCAUCUGUGGAUGGGACAAACUGUGUAUAGCACUGAAGACCAAAGCAAGGACAAUGCUGAAGACAGAAGAAGCAGAGAAAUAAGCA